GUAGGUGAACCUGCGGAAGGAUCAUUAAAGAAUGCCCCGUUUUUUGAAAUGGGUUCUAUUCCCAAACCGUGUAUACAUACCUUUGUUGCUUUGGCAGGCCGCCUUCGGGCGUCGGCUCGCGCUGACCGCGCCUGCCAGAGGACCCAAACUCUUUUGUUUAGUGAUGCCUGGGUACUAUAUAAUAGUUAAAACUUUCAACAACGGAUCUCUUGGUUCCG
rnacentral:misc_RNA from 1 species